rnacentral:rRNA from 1 species
GUGACCGGGAUGAGCUCAAAUUUAAAAUCUGGCGUCUUUCAGGCGUCCGAGUUGUAAUCUAUAGAGGCGUUUUCCGCGCCGGACCGCGUCCAAGUCUCUUGGAAUAGAGUAUCAAAGAGGGUGACAAUCCCGUACUUGACGCGACAACCGGUGCUCUGUGAUACGUUCUCAAUGAGUCGAGUUGUUUGGGAAUGCAGCUCUAAAUGGGUGGUAAAUUCCAUCUAAGGCUAAAUAUUGGCGAGAGACCGAUAGCGAACAAGUACCGUGAGGGAAAGAUGAAAAGCACUUUGGAAAGAGAGUUAAACAGCACGUGAAAUUGUUAAAAGGGAAACGAUUGAAGUCAGUCGUGUGAAAGGUAUUCAGCCGUCUCUGGCGGUGUAUUUGCCUUUCACGGGUCAACAUCAGUUUGAUCCGGUAGAAAAAGGCGGGAGGAAGGUGGCACCCUCGGGUGUGUUAUAGCCUCCUGUCAUAUGUGCCGGACCAGACUGAGGAACGCAGCUUGCCGCAAGGCCGGGGUUCGCCCACGUACAAGCUUAGGAUGUUGACAUAAUGGCUUUAAACGACCCGUCUUGA